ensembl:lncRNA
GCUAGAAGUGCUAUUGAAGAUGAAACUAGCUAGCGAGACAUUGCGGGAGUCCCCUGUGCUAGACAAUUUGGUCGCAUCUAAUAGCAGCAACCAGGCCUUAAAAGCAAACCAAGCUGUUCAAACAAACAAACUGGGGGGCCGAGAGAUGUACCCCAAGUUGCCUUGAGCUGUUUUGGAGCAAAGUUCAGGGCACGCGUGGCCGGACUCCUGGCUCUUCCCGCCUUGCUGGGCGGGGUGGUGCACAGGGUAAAGAGCGCAGGCCUUGGAGUAUGAACGCCUGGCCAUGCUAUUUACGAGCUGUGAGAUCUUGGGCGAGUCUGCAGUCUCAAUUUCCUUCUGUAUAAUGAAAGGUUUGGAGCGGACGACCUUCUGAAGCUCUUGUCUGCUCCGGACUUCCAAUCAUCCUAAGAGAAGGUACCAUGCUAAGUGUUGUACCAGGAGUUGAGGAACUCUUUCUUUUGAGGCUCAGGUAGCACAGGCUGUCCCCGAACUCCGUAUAUGUCUUAGAUAAGCCUCCACCUCCCGAGUGCUGGGAUUACAAACCAGUAAUUACGCCCAGUUUUUAACCAUCCUAGGCAGCACAUCUGUAUCCUAAAGAUCUUUUUGAGGAGUGACUAGGAAGUAAAGCCCAGCAGCCCCCAGACGUCUGCAGAGCAUCACGGAAUCUAUGCUGAUGCAAGUCGCCGGCCUCCCUUUGGUGCGCCCCGGCCUGCCUGCAAGAGCUUUGAUCCCUGCCUGGCCCCGCUCCCGAACGUGUGCUGGUUUUCAGUGCCCGCCUGGAGACCCGCGUUCCACAGCCUAGACCACCUUUCAGUCCUGUGGCACCAGAGGCAGAGUGCGCCCCGGUGCUGCCCCGGGAUUGGCCUCCCUCAGUUCAGUGGAUGCCUGAAUUUUGCCUUAUCGAAACCCAGUAAGGCGGCGCCUACGUGGGGAGACAUUCUCGGAGGCACGCAGUUAGGAAGGGCCUGGAGUAAGAUGCUAAGAACAGGGAUUAAGCCCCAAUGUCUAGAAUCUUAAGGAAAACAGAUACUGUCUCUUGUAAUCCUCACAACAAACAUUCGAGGUGGCUCUCAUUUCCAGGUGUCAGUUCAGGAAAAUAACGUUAAGUAACUCGUCCAAGGGAACUGGUCAGUGUGCAGUAACGAGUCGGGAGUGCAGCCCGACUCAGAGUCUGUCUGGUCCCUCCGCCCCCGCAUUACUUGCCUCCUAUCGGAACGCCUUUCUGGCUUUCUAAGCGUGGACUUCAUUUGUUCAUGGCUUUAACUAACACUUAAACGUGUUCAUUCUUUCUCUUCUAUGUAAAUAUGUGGAGUGAGGGAAGGGAGGAGAGAAGCCGAGGUGAGAAAAAAAUCUCUGCUGAUUCUUCUUUGUGUCUCUGGGUAUGUGGACCAUCCCCCCUCCCCCCGCCGCGCCCCUAUCAGUUUCCUUGUUUGCCUAUCCAGAUGCAUUGGAUCUUAGAAUGGUUGUCUCUCUGGCCACACUGGCCCACCCAUCAGAGCACCGGGCGCUUCAUGAAGACCUUUCUCAUGUACCGCUUAGCUUGUCUUUACAACAUCCCUAGGAGAAGCAUGGACAGUUGUUGGCCAGACUGGGGAUUGUUGAAGCAAAGCCAAAUGACAAAAUGGCAAAGCUGCCUUCUUAGCAUGGGCCAGCCUGUGGAUUUUUCUGAACGCAAACCCAUCUCACACGACCUUAAACCCAGUGUUCUGCCAACCUUGACAGUCUACAGAGUCUACUCCUCUGUAAGAAACCUCCCACACUGCUGGGAGGAAUCUGCAAUCACAACUUUAUUGUAAACAAUGCUUUCAGAUGAUGUCUUUUUUUUGUUUGUUUUUUUCGAUACAGGGUUUCUCUGUGUAGCUUUGGAGCCUAUCCUGGCACUCGCUCUGGAAACCAGGCUGGCCUCGAACUCACAGAGAUCUGCCUGCCUCUGCCUCCCGAGUGCUGGGAUUAAAGGCGUGGACCACCAACGCCCGCCUAGAUGAUGUCUUAACAUCCCUGAGAGCAUUUCAAUUUAAAGCCUGAGUCUUGGUUAGGGUUCCUACUGCUGUGAUAAAACAUAGUGACCAAAAGCAAGCUUGGGGAGGAAAGGGUUGUUUUGCUUACUCUUCCAUAUCACAGGGAGUCCUGGCAGGAACCCCAGGCAGGAACUGAAGCAGAGGCAGAGCCGGAGAAGGAAUGCUGCUUACUGGUUUAGUUCCCUACUUAGUCUGCUUUCCUACAUGGUCCAGGACACCUGUCCCGGGGUGGCAUGGCUCUCAGUACACUGGGCCCUUCCACACCAGUCUUAAUCCAAAGAAUGUAUUACAGAUUUGCCUCAAGACAAUCCAAUAGACAUUUUCUAAAUUGAAGUUCCUCUUCCCAGUAACUAACUCUAACUUUGGCUUGUGUCAAGUUGUCAAAAAAAAAAAAAAAUUCUCAGGGGCAAUCAGUAAGCAGAUUUCAGCAUAAAUGGUUCAAACGGAAAGGUCAUUGUGAUGAAGCUCCUGGAGCAAGGGCAGGGGUAAAGAACCAGGGAACUUGAUAUAUCUAGUAUCUGGCAACAGCUGGAAACAGACCACCAAUAGAGUUGCAGGAGGGCUGAGAAAAAUGCCCCCCUUAAACUGUUCAGAGCCACUAACCCUGAAGGGUGUGUUUGCAUCUGUCAGGUGAGGGAUUCCAGGAAAGGCUCAGAACUGCUAUCGAUCCAAAGGGAACUUCAAGGGUGUGGGAGUGGGGUGCCAAGUGAGCAGGACAGAUUUCCCCUCCGUGGCCACACACCACCUUCUUGAGGGCCCGAAGGGCACUUGCAGCAUAUGUGUUCUGAGACAGGUCACAUACAUUUCUCCCAACAUAUACUGGAGAGCGACCAUGAUCAUAAACUAUGAAGACAAAGCACUAGCAGGGUGACACACACCUAUAAUCUCAGCACUUUGGAGGUGACUGCAAGAGGAUCAGGGGUUCAAGGUCAUCGCUACCUUGUUCUGAAUACUUAACUGGAUCCUCUGCAAGAGCAGCCAGUGCUCUUAACCACUGAGCCAUCUCUCCAGUCUCUGGGUGGCUCAAAGUGUAACUCCAAUCCCACAGGAUCCAACAUGCUCUUCUGGUCUCCUAGGGCACCGCACACGUGUGGUAUACAGACAUAGAUGAAGGCAAAACACUCAUACACACAA